AACGAACGCUGGCGGCAUGCCUAACACAUGCAAGUCGAACGAGACCUUCGGGUCUAGUGGCGCACGGGUGCGUAACGCGUGGGAACCUGCCUUUAGGUUCGGAAUAACUCAGAGAAAUUUGAGCUAAUACCGGAUGAUGUCUUCGGACCAAAGAUUUAUCGCCUUUAGAUGGGCCCGCGUUGGAUUAGCUAGUUGGUGGGGUAAAGGCCUACCAAGGCGACGAUCCAUAGCUGGUCUGAGAGGAUGAUCAGCCACACUGGGACUGAGACACGGCCCAGACUCCUACGGGAGGCAGCAGUGGGGAAUAUUGGACAAUGGGCGAAAGCCUGAUCCAGCAAUACCGCGUGAGUGAUGAAGGCCUUAGGGUUGUAAAGCUCUUUUACCCGAGAUGAUAAUGACAGUAUCGGGAGAAUAAGCUCCGGCUAACUCCGUG
rnacentral:rRNA from 1 species